rnacentral:sRNA from 1 species
GGCUGUUCCCCUCUGGAGGUUUUGACCUUCACACCUAUAAGGGCCCUGGUUUACUCCGGUGGCCCUCUUUUUUUGCCCAA